CGAUAAUAACACAUUGAAUCAUCGCUUCUCGUACGAUGACAGAAGUUAAGAGAUGUCGAGCCUGGCCAGUACCAAGAUGGGUAAACGCUUGGGAAUAUCACGUGUUGCAAGC